rnacentral:rRNA from 1 species
AUUGAACGCUGGCGGCAGGCCUAACACAUGCAAGUCGAACGAGUGGCGGACGGGUGAGUAAUGUCUGGGAAACUGCCUGAUGGAGGGGGAUAACUACUGGAAACGGUAGCUAAUACCGCAUACCAUCGGAUGUGCCCAGAUGGGAUUAGCUAGUAGGUGGGGUAAAGGCUCACCUAGGCGACGAUCCCUAGCUGGUCUGCAAGGAUGACCAGCCACACUGGAACUGCGACACGGUCCAGACGCCUACGGGAGGCAGAAGUGGGGAAUAUUGCACAAUGGGCGCAAGCCUGAUGCAGCCAUGCCGCGUGUAUGAAGAAGGCCUUCGGGUUUUAAAGUACUUUCAGCGGGGAGGCGUUACCCGCAGAAGAAGCACCGGCUAACUCAGGGCGAGCAGCCGCGGUAGUUG